CAAGCCAUUCAUUUGCUGCAUAAGCAUCUUAAGUUUUGAGCUUGUGAUUAAGAGACGGGGUUUUGUUGAAAUGUUGAUGAAAUGUAAUGUUUCCAAAUGGAAAUAUCCCAAAAUUCAGCAACCAGGUGGGAAGUUGCAUAUAAUAUAACUCUGUUUUCUUUUGUUUUCUUCAUUGCUUUUGGUGCUAUGCUAUGUUAUCUUAAACUUCUGUUUUUGUUUUCAUUAUAGUAGCGAUAUUAACUAGUGUAUAUGUUCCAGCAGUAUAUCUGGAAGCGAUUGUUUGUUAGAAUGGGUGGAAUUGGAAAGCUAACACAUAGAUGCACCUUGGUCACGAUUCUGCAUAUCAAGUUUUGCAAUGCAUCGAAAAUCUGCCAACCUGGAAUUCUGUUGGCUUCACAUUGGACAGAAAUUUACUACCGGAUGGAGCCCCGAAGCCUAGUUAGAAAAUAGAUAAAACAUGAAAGGUUCAGCAAGAGAACCAAAAGUGACAAAAUGAUAGCACUGUGAAGAGCACAAAACAACAUAAUUAAGAAAAAUUCUUAAGAAACUCCACUACUUCUUUCUCCAAUUGGACUUGGAUAGUUGCAAUGUUAUACGACAUUGUAACUUUGUAUUUUCUUUUUAUUUUAUUGGAAUUGUCUAAAAAAUUUACUUUUGCAUAUGUUUCUAAUAAUAUAUAUUGAAUUUUGUUUUAA